CACUCUUCUCUCCCGGACUCCUGUCCAGGGCUUCAGGGGCCGGGCCCGCAAUCCCCAUCGGAUCGUACCUCGUCCGCUUCCAGCUCCGCUCGGCUGCCUAAGAGCGCCAUAUUCCUCCUCUGGCUGCUGCCACCCAAAAACCAAGCAGGGAACUCAGAGCCGACUCCUGCUCUCGGCUCUGGGCUCAGCCCAGCGCAAAGGAGGGCAAAAGGGGACGGCCCGGCGCUCCCUCCGGGUCUCGGGCGGGGCCUGAGUGCAGCUACUCGAUUUCCCCGCCCCCGGAGCCGGCAGGCCAGCACAGCAUCCAUUUCCUCCCCGGACGCCGCGCCGCUGGCCGGGCCACUUGCCCGGCCCCCAGCGGGCGGCAGCCCCGCCCAAGUGGGUGGAGUCACCUCCCAGAUAAAGUUUCCCGGUCUGGCACGCCCUCUGGGAGGGUUUCCUAAGCUUUCCUGCCGCCUGUUCUCUGCGGUGGCUGGGCACACCUGGAAAGAAGCUAGAGAGCGCGGGCAUGACGAAGCCAAGGUCAAAGCAGCGCCCCACCUGGGGUCCGUGGAAGCAUCCACCUGGUCUUUGGUCCGGUGCCAGUCCUUUUCCCUCGCCAGGUGGCCACCGCAUCUCGCAGAUGGUGUGGCCUGAGGGCAGCCUUGGGUCACGGUCACUGGUCCCCGAGAGGCCUCUGACACACCACCCACCUGGACUGUAGGUGGAAGGACUCUGCUUGCUUCUGUGUUCAAAAAAUAGAAAAAAACGCGGGACAGAGAUUUAUACAUAUUGGAACUCCUCUACUUCCCCCUACCCGGACAGUGUAUUCUCCCCAUAGCAUCCUGUAUUUUGUAACUCCAAACAUAGGUGUAUAAUUCGUGCUUGAACUAUAAACUCCAUGGGGGUAGGAUGCUAUCUGUCCUCUUCAAGACUGUAUCCCCAACACCCAGAACAGUGUCUUGCACAUCGUAGGUGCUCAACAGAUAUUUGUUGGCUGAGUUUAGAAACUGAACCUUGCUUCUGACAUGUAAAAUAACUGGAAAAUUAAAAGCUAGAUCUUUAAGAGUUUGGGGGAGAGAGGUCAGAUUUACUUUACAUACAGAAAAAUGCACCAAGUUAAAUGUGUGAUUCAGUGACAAGUGUUUACAAAGCAUCCCAGUCAUAAUAUAGAACAUCCUGAAAAGUUUUCUGUGACCCUUUGCUGUCAAUUUCCUACCUCCGCUCCCUAGCCUCUGUCAAUCACUGAUCUGCUAUCAACAUCGAUUU
rnacentral:lncRNA from 1 species